AAAAGAACUUUGAAGAGAGAGUUCAAUAGUACGUGAAACCGUUUAGAGGCAAACGGAUGGGACCGCAAAAGUCGAUCCGCGGAAUUCAACCUUUCGGUGUUGGGUCUGCCGGCGCGGGGUGUUCGGAUCUUUGAACGGCCCUUGCGUCGGGCGGCCGCUGGAAGGUGCACUUUCCGCGGACUGAGCGCUGCGACCGGUUUGCGCGGCGGCGAGAAGCCCCGGGAGAAGGUGGCCUCUGCCUCGGCAGUUGCUUUAUAGCUCUCGGCGGUCAUCGCCCGCCGCCGGACCGAGGAAUGGUUCUCUGCGCCCGCCACUAUGGCUCGGGCCCCUGGCCCUCGCCGGACGUUCGACUGGGGUGGACUGAUUUCAGUGUUCUCCGACCGCGUCUGGUGCACGGGUUUUUCGGGCGGUCCCCGAGCAUGGCGCAUGGGGUCUGCGGCGAUUAGGUCGGCACCCUAUCCGACCCGUCUUGAAACACGGACCGAGGAGUCUAACAUGUGCGCGAGUCAUUGGGGCCUCCGAACCCUAAAGGCGCAAUGAAAGUGAAGGUUGGCCUCGCUUGUCGACCUAGGUGUGAUCCCGCCCCGCCGCGGGUGGGCGCAACACCGGCCCGUCUCGUCCGUUUCCGGCAACGGUCGGGGAGGCGGAGCAAGAGCGUACAC
rnacentral:rRNA from 1 species